UACCGAGUGAGGGCCCUCUGGGUCCAACCUCCCACCCGUGUUUAUUUUACCUUGUUGCUUCGGCGGGCCCGCCUUAACUGGCCGCCGGGGGGCUUACGCCCCCGGGCCCGCGCCCGCCGAAGACACCCUCGAACUCUGUCUGAAGAUUGUAGUCUGAGUGAAAAUAUAAAUUAUUUAAAACUUUCAACAACGGAUCUCUUGGUUCCGGCAUCGAUGAAGAACGCAGCGAAAUGCGAUACGUAAUGUGAAUUGCAAAUUCAGUGAAUCAUCGAGUCUUUGAACGCACAUUGCGCCCCCUGGUAUUCCGGGGGGCAUGCCUGUCCGAGCGUCAUUGCUGCCCUCAAGCACGGCUUGUGUGUUGGGCCCCGUCCUCCGAUCCCGGGGGACGGGCCCGAAAGGCAGCGGCGGCACCGCGUCCGGUCCUCGAGCGUAUGGGGCUUUGUCACCCGCUCUGUAGGCCCGGCCGGCGCUUGCCGAUCAACCCAAAUUUUUAUCCAGGUGACCUCGGAUCAGGUAGUUCCCG
rnacentral:rRNA from 1 species